AUAGGCGGUUUCAUGGGAGUUCAAGGGAAGAGAAGUGCGACCCAUGGAUGGAUCUUAUCAUUACUGGAAGUACAUGAUAAGACUUGAUAAAUGCGUGGAUAAGAGAAGCAUGGUUUUCCUGGUUAAGAGAAGAAACAAGAUUCUACACCAUCAAGUGUAAGGUAACCGGUUUUAUGAUUACUUCUCAUUUAUAUUUCUGUCUCUUGUAGGAGCGAUCAUGGCCAAGAAUGAUACGCCCUUGAAGACUAUGUACAUUGUGAUGUGAUAUAAGGAUCCAAG
rnacentral:lncRNA from 1 species